ACGAAUAAUCAUGGUGUUGGUUGUCGCUGGCUCCUCGGAGCAAUGUGCACGCCCACCAUUUUUAUCUUUCCACCUGUGCACCGACUGUAGGUCUGGAUACCUCUCGCCUCCUCGGGGGCGGAUGCGAGGAUUGCUCUCUCGGGGGCUCUCCUCGAACUUCCAGGCUCUACGUCUUUUUACACACCCCAAUAGUAUGAUUCAGAAUGUUGUCAAUGGGCCUUCACAAGCCUAUAAAACAAAAUA
rnacentral:misc_RNA from 1 species